GACGAACGCUGGCGGCGUGCCUAAUACAUGCAAGUCGAGCGAGCGAAACUAACAGAUUUACUUCGGUAAUGACGUUAGGAAAGCGAGCGGCGGAUGGGUGAGUAACACGUGGGGAACCUGCCCCAUAGUCUGGGAUACCACUUGGAAACAGGUGCUAAUACCGGAUAAGAAAGCAGAUCGCAUGAUCAGCUUUUAAAAGGCGGCGUAAGCUGUCGCUAUGGGAUGGCCCCGCGGUACAUUAGCUAGUUGGUAAGGUAAAGGCUUACCAAGGCGAUGAUGCAUAGCCGAGUUGAGAGACUGAUCGGCCACAUUGGGACUGAGACACGGCCCAAACUCCUACGGGAGGCAGCAGUAGGGAAUCUUCCACAAUGGACGCAAGUCUGAUGGAGCAACGCCGCGUGAGUGAAGAAGGUUUUCGGAUCGUAAAGCUCUGUUGUUGGUGAAGAAGGAUAGAGGUAGUAACUGGCCUUUAUUUGACGGUAAUCAACCAGAAAGUCACGGCUAACUACGUG
rnacentral:rRNA from 1 species